rnacentral:rRNA from 1 species
GACGAACGCUGGCGGCGUGCUUAACACAUGCAGGUCGAACGGAAAGGCCCUGCGUUUGUGGGGUUCUCGAGUGGCGAACGGGUGAGUAACACGUGAGUAACCUGCCCUUGACUUUGGGAUAACUUCAGGAAACUGGGGCUAAUACCGGAUAGGAGCUCCUGCUGCAUGGUGGGGGUUGGAAAGUUUCGGCGGUUGGGGAUGGACUCGCGGCUUAUCAGCUUGUUGGUUGGGUAGUGGCUUACCAAGGCUUUGACGGGUAGCCGGCCUGAGAGGGUGACCGGCCACAUUGGGACUGAGAUACGGCCCAGAGUGCUACGGGAGGCAGCAGUGGGGAAUAUUGCACAAUGGGCGGAAGCCUGAUGAAGCAACGCCGCGUGCGGGAUGCCGGCCUUCGGGUUGUAAACCGCUUUCGCCUGUGACGAAGCGUGAGUGACGGUAAUGGGUAAAGAAGCACCGGCUAACUACGUG